rnacentral:rRNA from 1 species
GACGUAGGAGGCGAGCGUUGUCCGGAUUCAUUGGGCGUAAAGAGCGCGCAGGCGGCUUGGUAAGUCGGAUGUGAAAACCCGAGGCUCAACCUCGGGCGUGCAUCCGAUACUGCUCGGCUAGAGGUAGGUAGGGGAGAUCGGAAUUCCUGGUGUAGCGGUGAAAUGCGCAGAUAUCAGGAGGAACACCGGUGGCGAAGGCGGAUCUCUGGGCCUUACCUGACGCUCAGGCGCGAAAGCGUGGGGAGCAAACAGG